GGUUAAGCGACUAAGCGUACACGGUGGAUGCCCUGGCAGUCAGAGGCGAUGAAGGACGUGCUAAUCUGCGAAAAGCGUCGGUAAGGUGAUAUGAACCGUUACAGCCGGCGAUGUCCGAAUGGGGAAACCCAGUGCAAUUCGUUGCACUAUCGUUAACUGAAUACAUAGGUUAACGAGGCGAACCGGGGGAACUGAAACAUCUAAGUACCCCGAGGAAAAGAAAUCAACCGAGAUUCCCCCAGUAGCGGCGAGCGAACGGGGAGCAGCCCAGAGUCUGAAUCAGCUUGUGUGUUAGUGGAACGGUCUGGAAAGUCCGACGGUACAGGGUGAUAGUCCCGUACACCAAAAUGCACAGGUUGUGAACUCGAAGAGUAGGGCGGGACACGUGGUAUCCUGUCUGAAUAUGGGGGGACCAUCCUCCAAGGCUAAAUACUCCUGACUGACCGAUAGUGAACCAGUACCGUGAGGGAAAGGCGAAAAGAACCCCGGCGAGGGGAGUGAAAAAGAACCUGAAACCGUGUACGUACAAGCAGUGGGAGCACCUUCGGGUGUGACUGCGUACCUUUUGUAUAAUGGGUCAGCGACUUAUAUUCUGUAGCAAGGUUAACCGUAUAGGGGAGCCGCAGGGAAACCGAGUCUUAACUGGGCGUUAAGUUGCAGGGUAUAGACCCGAAACCCGGUGAUCUAGCCAUGGGCAGGUUGAAGGUUGGGUAACACUAACUGGAGGACCGAACCGACUAAUGUUGAAAAAUUAGCGGAUGACUUGUGGCUGGGGGUGAAAGGCCAAUCAAACCGGGAGAUAGCUGGUUCUCCCCGAAAGCUAUUUAGGUAGCGCCUCGUGAACUCAUCUUCGGGGGUAGAGCACUGUUUCGGCUAGGGGGUCAUCCCGACUUACCAACCCGAUGCAAACUACGAAUACCGAAGAAUGUUAUCACGGGAGACACACGGCGGGUGCUAACGUCCGUCGUGAAGAGGGAAACAACCCAGACCGCCAGCUAAGGUCCCAAAGUCAUGGUUAAGUGGGAAACGAUGUGGGAAGGCACAGACAGCCAGGAUGUUGGCUUAGAAGCAGCCAUCAUUUAAAGAAAGCGUAAUAGCUCACUGGUCGAGUCGGCCUGCGCGGAAGAUGUAACGGGGCUAAACCAUGCACCGAAGCUGCGGCAGCGACACUAUGUGUUGUUGGGUAGGGGAGCGUUCUGUAAGCCUGCGAAGGUGUGCUGUGAGGCAUGCUGGAGGUAUCAGAAGUGCGAAUGCUGACAUAAGUAACGAUAAAGCGGGUGAAAAGCCCGCUCGCCGGAAGACCAAGGGUUCCUGUCCAACGUUAAUCGGGGCAGGGUGAGUCGACCCCUAAGGCGAGGCCGAAAGGCGUAGUCGAUGGGAAACAGGUUAAUAUUCCUGUACUUGGUGUUACUGCGAAGGGGGGACGGAGAAGGCUAUGUUAGCCGGGCGACGGUUGUCCCGGUUUAAGCAUGUAGGCUGGUUAUCCAGGCAAAUCCGGAUAAUCAAGGCUGAGGUGUGAUGACGAGGCACUACGGUGCUGAAGUAACAAAUGCCCUGCUUCCAGGAAAAGCCUCUAAGCAUCAGGUAACAUCAAAUCGUACCCCAAACCGACACAGGUGGUCAGGUAGAGAAUACCAAGGCGCUUGAGAGAACUCGGGUGAAGGAACUAGGCAAAAUGGUGCCGUAACUUCGGGAGAAGGCACGCUGGUGUGUAGGUGAAGCCCCUGCGGGUGGAGCUGAGACCAGUCGAAGAUACCAGCUGGCUGCAACUGUUUAUUAAAAACACAGCACUGUGCAAACACGAAAGUGGACGUAUACGGUGUGACGCCUGCCCGGUGCCGGAAGGUUAAUUGAUGGGGUUAUCCGUAAGGAGAAGCUCUUGAUCGAAGCCCCGGUAAACGGCGGCCGUAACUAUAACGGUCCUAAGGUAGCGAAAUUCCUUGUCGGGUAAGUUCCGACCUGCACGAAUGGCGUAAUGAUGGCCAGGCUGUCUCCACCCGAGACUCAGUGAAAUUGAACUCGCUGUGAAGAUGCAGUGUACCCGCGGCAAGACGGAAAGACCCCGUGAACCUUUACUAUAGCUUGACACUGAACAUUGAGCCUUGAUGUGUAGGAUAGGUGGGAGGCUUUGAAGCGUGGACGCCAGUCUGCGUGGAGCCAACCUUGAAAUACCACCCUUUAAUGUUUGAUGUUCUAACGUUGGCCCCUUAUCGGGGUUGCGGACAGUGUCUGGUGGGUAGUUUGACUGGGGCGGUCUCCUCCCAAAGCGUAACGGAGGAGCACGAAGGUUAGCUAAUCCUGGUCGGACAUCAGGAGGUUAGUGCAAUGGCAUAAGCUAGCUUGACUGCGAGCGUGACGGCGCGAGCAGGUGCGAAAGCAGGUCAUAGUGAUCCGGUGGUUCUGAAUGGAAGGGCCAUCGCUCAACGGAUAAAAGGUACUCCGGGGAUAACAGGCUGAUACCGCCCAAGAGUUCAUAUCGACGGCGGUGUUUGGCACCUCGAUGUCGGCUCAUCACAUCCUGGGGCUGAAGUAGGUCCCAAGGGUAUGGCUGUUCGCCAUUUAAAGUGGUACGCGAGCUGGGUUUAGAACGUCGUGAGACAGUUCGGUCCCUAUCUGCCGUGGGCGCUGGAGAAUUGAGGGGGGCUGCUCCUAGUACGAGAGGACCGGAGUGGACGCAUCACUGGUGUUCGGGUUGUCAUGCCAAUGGCACUGCCCGGUAGCUAAAUGCGGAAGAGAUAAGUGCUGAAAGCAUCUAAGCACGAAACUUGCCCCGAGAUGAGUUCUCCCUGAGACUUUAAGUCUCCUGAAGGAACGUUGAAGACGACGACGUUGAUAGGCCGGGUGUGUAAGCGCAGCGAUGCGUUGAGCUAACCGGUACUAAUGAACCGUGAGGCUUAACCUU
rnacentral:rRNA from 1 species